rnacentral:rRNA from 1 species
GACAGAGGGUGCGAACGUUGUUCGGAAUCACUGGGCUUAAAGGGCGCGUAGGCGGGUUCGCAAGUCUGUGGUGAAAGCCUCCAGCUUAACUGGAGAAGUGCCGUGGAUACUGCGAAUCUUGAGGAGGGUAGGGGCGUCUGGAACGGUCGGUGGAGCGGUGAAAUGCGUUGAUAUCGACCGGAACUCCGGUGGCGAAGGCGAGGCGCUGGACCCUUUCUGACGCUGAGGCGCGAAAGCCAGGGGAGCAAAGCGGG